rnacentral:tRNA from 1 species
GGGGAUGUGGCUCAGUGGUAGAGCACUUGCCUAGCAUGCCUGAGCCCCUGGGUUCACUCUCCAACAUCCCCC